AAAGUUAGGUGAUUAGGUGAGUGCAGCUUUAUCUUUGUCAUUUUUAUAUGAUCAUUUGUUUUUGUUCGAGAAAUUAUAAAAGGGAGUUGUUGAGAGUAAUAUACCUAUUUUCAGAAAUAAAAUAUAAAGUAGAAUAUUAUCCUAUCCAUAAAGUUUAGCCGUCUGAGUUGGGGACAUUUGUGAAUACCUGAUUCAUAUCUCUGUCAGUUGAAAACACAUAGGGCUCGUUUGGUUCGCGGGAAGCAUUUUUCCUCCUAGGAAUAUGAUUCCUGGGAAACAAAUUCCUAGGAAGAGGAUGCCUAGGAAAGUACUUUUGGCAUGUUUGGUUAACCAUGGGAAAGUGACAAAUUUCCAAAGUGCUUAUGUUUGGUUGGCAAUCCACUUUCCUGGAAAAGUUAUGUAUAAUUUCUAUUAUGCCCUUAAUAAAAAUUAGGUUUUUAAUGCCUCUUUAAUGCUUCUUUAAUGCUGAAGGGCCUUUUUGGGAAAAAAUAAAAAUAAAGUGAUUCCCGCCUCAUGGGAAAGUAACUUUACCAUGUUUCUCAUAGGAAAGACUUUUCCAUGAAAUGUGGAAAUCAUAUUCCCAUGGGAAUAUAACUUUCCCAUCUCUCUUCUUUGAAAACUCCAACCAAACAAGAGGCAUCUCGUUACUUUCCCG
rnacentral:lncRNA from 1 species